rnacentral:lncRNA from 1 species
UAAUUUUUCAUAUUUUUUAUUUUCCUUUUUAAUUUGUUUUAAAUUUAUUUCGUUUUUUUAAUUAUAUGUGUCUAUUUAGGCUAGUUUACUUUGUUAGGGUUUGAUUUUUAAUUUUCCGAUUUGAGUUUUGACCCAAUAUUUUAUAAACUUGUAGACACAUGUAUAUAGGUCAUUUAAUCUUCCAUUUUUGUUUUGGUUUUUAAUUUUGAGUCAAAUUUGAACCUAUUUUUGAAGGUAUCUUUGUAAUGGUUACUUGUUUGUGCUUAACCUAAAUGAUCU